rnacentral:rRNA from 1 species
GGAACAGGACGUCACAGAGGGUGAGAAUCCCGUGCGAUGAGAUGCCCAAUUCUAUGUAAAGUGCUUUCGAAGAGUCGAGUUGUUUGGGAAUGCAGCUCUAAGUGGGUGGUAAAUUCCAUCUAAAGCUAAAUAUUGGCGAGAGACCGAUAGCGAACAAGUACAGUGAUGGAAAGAUGAAAAGAACUUUGAAAAGAGAGUGAAAAAGUACGUGAAAUUGUUGAAAGGGAAGGGCUUGAGAUCAGACUUGGUAUUUUGCGAUCCUUUCCUUCUUGGUUGGGUUCCUCGCAGCUUACUGGGCCAGCAUCGGUUUGGAUGGUAGGAUAAUGACUAAGGAAUGUGGCUCUACUUCGGUGG